rnacentral:lncRNA from 1 species
CACUAUGCCGGAGAACAAAUCACUAUGAGAAAGAAUACAAAAAGGUCUUACAAGUCUCAACUCACAAGACUAACGCUCACAAGGCAGACUUGCCUACUUGCCUUUGCUACUCAACCCAACCAGCGAUCUUGUCUUCCUUCGUCAACAAGAGAUGGCACAACUCUGGUCUCGACUGCUCACACCUCAAGGCACGAUUGCUGAUCACCAACAUGCAUAAUGC